GUCUGUAGCCAUACCACUUUGAACACUCCCAUAUCAUCUGAUCUCAGAUGCUAAGUAGAGUCUGGCCUGGUUAGUAGUUGCAAAGG
rnacentral:rRNA from 1 species